rnacentral:lncRNA from 1 species
UUGGGCACUGCGCUGCCCAUCCACCCUUCCCACCUUUCCCUACAGAUGUGUGUGUGUUUAGUUUCUGUAGAUCGGAUUCAAAUGUCAACUUCUUAGACGGCUAUGACCACACACUUAAACCUGCCGCUUCCCCUUGAUGGUGUCUAAUACUUCUUGCUGUGUCUUUUUUCUAGCCCUUGUUGCACCCAGCUCGCCACAGGCUACUUGCUUCUGUUUUCCUCUGCCCUAUUGCCAGAAGGAAGAAGAUGGAGAAGCACAAGUCUCAAGAUCUUGUGGUUGAUUUGCAGCAAGCCUAAAGUGACACUGACAUUUUUCCAAGUUGUCCCAUGUCCUCAAACACUCCAGAACUGAGUUUCAAAUCAGUGUCGCCCACGGUGCCCAUCCUGGCUUCUGGGAGCAGCUUUACUCAUAGUCGCACAUGAGGCUCUCUCAUGUGAACUGAUCUAAACACUCACCUAUGGCUGAUAUGGGUAGACAGGAAAACUGUAUGUCAUAGUGAUACAAAGCACAAUGAGCUCUGCCUUCCUUUACUCUGAAAUGACAAUGGCACUGUGUGAACUGAGAAAGACUUGGUGUCUGUCGACUGCUUGAUGUCUUUAGGAAAACAAUCGCCUAUCUGGAGUGACCAUUCUCUCCUGACUUCUUGCUAUUUCCAAUAAUAAUUGUCGCCACUGCAGAGACCACUGUUGUGAAUCGCUUCAGAUCUCUGUUUCCACGGUAAUGCUGUGAUCCUGCACCCAGGAAAGCACAGCUGGCAUUUUCUUCUAUUUCUCCUAGCUCCCAGGCUGGGAAACCACAACAUCCUCAGGGAAGUUUUGCCACUAUGCAGAGGAAUUCACCCCCAGUGUGAUGCUGGAUGCUGCUGAACUGCAUCUCCACUUUAAAAGCAUCAGUACAUGAAGGCCUGAAGGGAUCCUCAGGCUUGGGAAAUGGUUCAGGUAAUGGACUGGUUUCCAGCGACCUCCCUGCCUCCACCUCUCAGGAGCUUGUAAAUAUGUCUCCUGUGGAUGCCUGUGUGUUCAAAAUGGCAGCUUUGCACAAUAUCUCACGAGCUAAAUUCUUGAAUAAAACGAGAAGUAUGGAACUAUG